GUACAUCAGUGUCCUUCUGUGAACAGUUUCUGAACAUCCACAGAAGUAUUAGUGUCAGGCAUACAUGUAUGUUAAAGCCAGAGAAACCUGAAGGGUUUUCAGGUUUUCCUGAAAAGGUCAGAAAAGUCAUCCAGCCAUCCAGAAUGUCAUCAUGAAUAUUAGUAAAACCACCUAGUUUUGUGGCCCUUAUGCUUGCAGGACAGGACAUGGUUCAGGGAGGGUGAACUUAGACUCUCUGAUUUGAGGCAAUAAAACUAGAUCCAGGCAAACCAAGGUGGCUAGAACUCCCAGGACAGAGGUAGAGAGAACGGAGCUGCACAGAGAGAAAAUCCCAGAUCUGCCGAGGUCCCUUUGGGAAAUGCAGUAGAAUCUACCAUUGACUUCUUAUAGCAGGGAGUAUGGAUUCAUGUUAUCUUGCAGGAAUGGGUGACCAUAUGAAAAUUAUUUUUGUUUUGUUUUGUCAUCAAGGAAAAACACAGUGGGACUUGACUUGUAACAUACAAUUCAGUAGCCACUAGAUACAUUUGACUAUUUAAAUUUAAAUUAAUUAAAAGUAAUUUGAGUUUAAUAACUCAGUUCCUCAGUUGCAUUAGCUGCAUUUCAGGAGCCCAGUAGCAGCAGGUGCUAGUGGUCCCACACAGGGCAGCAGAGAUGAGGAUCAUCUCCAUCAUUGUGAAAAGUCCCACCUGUAAACUGCUAGAAAC
rnacentral:lncRNA from 1 species